GACGUAGGGCGCGAGCGUUGUCCGGAUUUAUUGGGCGUAAAGAGCUCGUAGGCGGCUUGUCGCGUCGUCCGUGAAAACCAGGGGCUCAACCCCUGGCUUGCGGUCGAUACGGGCAGGCUAGAGUUCGGUAGGGGAGACUGGAAUUCCUGGUGUAGCGGUGAAAUGCGCAGAUAUCAGGAGGAACACCGGUGGCGAAGGCGGGUCUCUGGGCCGUGACUGACGCUGAGACGCGAAAGCGUGGGGAGCAAACAGG
rnacentral:rRNA from 1 species